AUACGUAGGUCCCGAGCGUUGUCCGGAUUUAUUGGGCGUAAAGCGAGCGCAGGUGGUUUAAUAAGUCUGAUGUAAAAGGCAGUGGCUCAACCAUUGUGUGCAUUGGAAACUGUUAGACUUGAGUGCAGUAGAGGAGAGUGGAAUUCCAUGUGUAGCGGUGAAAUGCGUAGAUAUUAGGAGGAACACCAGUGGCGAAGGCGUCUUUCUGGUCUGCAUCUGACACUGAGGAGCGAAAGCCAGGGGAGC
rnacentral:rRNA from 1 species